UUUAGGCACACCCGACAGACAGAGAGAAAUCACAUUUCACAACACAUGAUUGUUUGAAAUUCUUUAACACGUUAUCGUGAAUCGUGAUGGCAGCAAAAAGUAGCCAAGUGUCAUACUCGUUAAAGUAAUAUAAUUAAAUCACUCAAUUUUGUUGGAAAAUUUCUAAAAGCAUCGACAAAAACAUCAAUUAAACAAUAAUCAUGAAAAUAUUUUCUAGUGUUUGUGCUACUUUUGAUAGUGAUUUUACCAUCUGGUUACCUCCACGGGAGGAACUCCAGAACUUUAUUGAACAUUUGUCAGGAUUUGAAAUCAGAGCAUCAGAAAAUGAUGGACAACUAUGUAUAGUAGGAACUUUAGAAGCAAUGGUAUCUAUCAAGGAUUCAUUAAGCAAUUUUAUUUUGGUAAAUGAAGAAGAGGAUGGCAGAACUGAAAUUAAUCUUGAAACUCCAGGUGUGAGUGAUGAACCAAAUAACUAUUCCAACAGUUCUAUUCAACAGUUGGAGGAACUAUCCUUUGAGAAUGAAAUUUCUUCAGACUUUAAUGAUGUUGAAGGAAGUGAGAAUUGUCUGAACAUAGAAGUUUUGCAUUCGAAAUCAAAACAAGAAGCUAAAAAGAAAGAAUUUAAGUUUUCAUGUUCUCUUUGCUCUUUUAAGAGUCAAAGAGAAAGUCAUUAUCAGAAGCAUAUGAAUCUCCAUGAAACCAAUUCAACCAUCUUCCACUGUGACAAGUGUAAUUUCAGCACUUUAAGGUUAACCCAUUUAAGACACCAUCAGAUUACCCACAGUGCAAAACCAACUAUGUGCCCAACUGUUGCAUGUAGCUACAGUACAGAUAAUGCAAAACUUCUUAUCAAACAUCAACGUUUGAAACAUAAAGUUGUUUCCUCGCGUACCGAUCAAGUUAUUCGAAAUUGCCCUGCUUGUUCAUACAAAACCACGAGUCUUUACUUGUAUGAACGACAUAUGAAAAUACAUUCUGCGGAGGAAAAUAAAGGUGGACCCAAUUUAUUUAUUUGUAAUCAGUGUGACUAUCGAACAACAAGGAAAAUGCAUUAUGUUCGUCACGUCCGUGAUGUUCAUCGUGAGUGGCGUCCGUACCUGUGUGACUUGUGUGGAAAAGCAUUCAAGAGACCGGAUGCAUUGAAACAACACAACAUACUCCAUUCGACACCGGAAAAAGAUGGCUCAUUUCCAUUUCAGUGCCUCGUCAAAAGUUGUUUGAAGAAAUGUCAUUCAAAAGCACAUUUAAAUGCUCUACCUUGACUUUAUAAAAAAUGUUAGAGAAAGAAAAAGAGGACAGAAGGACCAAUUCCGCCAGAUUCCGCUUUGCGAAAACACCAAACGGUCCACUCUUCUGAACGAUCAUUCCUUUGUGAGAUCUGCGGGGCGUCAUUCAAAACGCGCUCGAUUCAACGUAAGCACAUUGCAAACUUACACCAAAACCCCCGCGCUUUUCUUUGUA
rnacentral:misc_RNA from 1 species